CAAAUGACCACAAUAUUUGGCAUCAUCAAUAUGAUCUUCAAAGAACAUCUAAAAAGGAAUUUUGAAGAAAAAAAAAAGAUAAUUUUAACCAAAAGUACCACUUGCAAUUUAUAUUUCAGUAAUGCCAUUCCUGUAAGCAAUGAAUCAGAUCCUGCCUGAUGUUGUGGUCCUAUUCGUUCCAACUCUAACUGUUCAGCAACUUCCUGUAAUCCACCCUAGAAGAAAUAAAAAUUGCUUGUCAUAGAGAGAAA